CCACUAAAGCAAAAACUUAAGAACAUACCUCGGAAAAUUAAAAACAUACCUUUGUCCAAAUUAUUUAGUCUGAAUUAGUUCCUCAAGAAGAUUUGUCAAUGAAGUUCUCAACUCAUUUCUGCUGCAUGAUCCUCAUCACCUUCAUUCUCCUCACGCAUAAUGUAUUUUCAUCUAGCGCAGUUCCUGCAGAUAGAAUCCAGGUUCAAACUUCUCGAUGGAGAUUACUCGAACCCAGACCUUAUCAUCCGCCACCACCGUGGGUGGCGAUCAAACCACCAAUAAUCCACUAUUGACUAGAAAGUGAGCUUCUUCCUCUAUUAUGAUUAGCUGGGUAUUUCAACGCUGAAAUUUGCUUAAAACAAGGGAAAAUCAAUUAGUAAACUACCAAGUCAUUAAAACCGUGGCUUUACAAGUUUUCUACUUUUUCUUUGUGAAAUCUAUCUAUGGCCUGAUUGUGAUUUCACCACUAAAUGAAAUCUUAUUUGGAUAUGUCUGACCACAUGGUGCCUUUUAAACAAACACGUUCUCUCAGGAAGUGCUUAUUGGAAAUGAAGCUGAUAGUGAAGCCCAUGUUUUAAACCUAGAGAAGAUGUGUUUGUAUAUAUGUGAACAACUUUCAGCUUCCCAUAUUUAUAUGCCCAAGAAUCCAUGAUUAUCAAGUGCUGGGUCAAUUUAUGUUCCAGAUGUAAGAAUUAUUUUUUUAAAUGAAUGGUUUAGUUGUAGCAUGAUACUAAUUUGGUUGAAUUUUCUCAUCUGAAUUCUGUGGAGGUCGCUAUA